UUUCAAAUGAGCCAGUUUUUGUGCUUAUUACUGUUACACGGGUUAGGCAAUCGAAGGCAGCCCUGUAGUCCAGGAUAAUAUUUUCUCAAAUUUCGAAGCAACAGCGGUAAGAAAGCCUAUUUGUAUGACCAGCUGAAUUCUGACUGGGCACCAAGGUAAACGUGUUUGAUUGAAUGUGAACUUUCUGAGGAGAAAGCCAAAGGUUGUUUUGAAAAUUGGAAAAAAAAUCACUGAAUUAGUAAAUUCAUUGGACAAAUUUGAUGUUGAAUUCUUCAGAGACAAUGAUGACAGGGUGAAACAUUUAUGUGGUUGAUUUUUUGAUAGUACAACUUUUAUUUGAAUUUUAAUUAUAGAACUUAAAUUACCAAAUUGUGUUGUGCUAAGCAAGUUUAGACUGAUGACAAUGACUGUAAUGAAAUUAAAAAUUAACAUGUCCAACCUAUUCUCAAGAUGUGUUUUUGGAAUCAUUCGGUCAACUGUGUCAAGACUAUUCUUUAAAACUAUUGAUGUCAUGUAUAAGAAAAUUAAAAUUAAAAAAACUUAUGAAGUGGACAGAGAGAAACACUUAGAAAUAUAACCGAUGGAAUUACGCAGAUACUUUGGAAAUAAUAGUGUUGUAAUCAUUGACUGUUUUGAAGUAUUCAUAGAGGAACCAACAGGACUAAAAGCUCAAGCACAAACCUGGUGGUCAUACAUGUACAAAUACCAUCAUACCAUCAAAUACCUUAUUGGAAUUACACCACAGUGCAGUGUUUCUUACAUUCUGAUGUAUGGGGUGGAAGGGUAAGCGCCAAUCAUAUUACAUACUGUAAAUAAUAACUUUAGUUAUUAAACCACCAGAGAGAGAUAAACACUUAAAGACAAUGCCCAUGGAAUUACACAAAUACUUUUGAAAUAAAUAUGUUGUAUACAUUGACUGUUUUGAAGUAUUCAUAGAGGAACUAACAGGACUGAAAGCUCAAGCACAAACCUGGUGGUCAUACAUGUACAAACACCAUCAUACCAUCAAAUACCUUAUUGGAAUAACACCACAGUGCAGUGUUUCUUACAUUUCUGAUGGAUUGGAUGGACGGCUAAGAAAGCCUAGUAGUGUACCUGGCACCAAGGUAUAUGCGUUUGAUUAAAUUUGAACACCCUGAGGAGACAAACCAUUUAAGGGAAGGGAAGCAUGCAGUACAAGAGGAUGAAAACACAGGUGUUUCGGUUCAAACAGAUUUAGAUGCCCUUUUAAUGUCUGCCCAUUUUGACAAAAUACAGAAGCUUCUUGAAAAACUAGAGUUAACAGUAAAUUCAUUGGACAAAUUUGAUGUUGAAUUCUUCAGAGACAAUGAUGACAAGGUGAAACAUUUAUCUGGAUUAGUACAGGAUUACCAUCAUUCUUUAAUGAUUCCCUUUCUUUAUGAAUUUAUAGGACUUAAUAUUUACCAAAUUGUUUUGUGCUAAGCAAGUUCAAACUGAUACAAUGACUUUUAUGAAAUUAAGUAUGGACUUGUCCAACCUCUUGAGUUAUGUUUUUGGAAUCGGUCAACUGUGUCAAGACUAUUCUUAAAAACUACUGAGUUGUGGAGUAAUAAAAAAAUUUAUUAAACAACCAGAGAGAGAGAAACACUUAAAGACAAUGCGCAUGGAAUUACGCAAAUACUUUGAAAAUAAAUAUGUUGUAAUCAUUGACUGUUUUGAAGUAUUCAUAGAGGAACAAACAGGACUGAAAGCACGAGCAUAGACCUGGUGGUCAUACAUGUGCAAACACCAUCAUACCAUCAAAUACCUUAUUGGAAUAACACCACAGUGCAGUGUUUCUUACAUUUCUGAUGGGUAAGUAACAAUCAGUGUUGCAUCUAGGCCGCGCGAUUGCGCGAUUUGCGCAUAUUAUUUGCAGAUCGCCCAUUUUAAUGAAGUCAAUGCUCGCCAAGUCGCCCAUCUGAUGAUCUUUUUCAUCUUUAUCGCAUCUUGAACGAGCUGCUUGAACGCUUCAGCCAUGUUUGUUUUUAAUCGCGGCAAUGACUUAAAUAUGUACUAAAUCGCGCGCAUAAGCCGACUUGGUCAUCUCGCAUGUGUAUUGUAGUAGUCGUCAAUAUUUUAUUUUUUAUUUCCGUUGUUAAGCGUUUGAUAGCUGUUAAAAAUGCCUUAAUGUAAGAUAAAUGAGUUUGUUUUGGUAUGUCAUAUUGUUAGGUAAAUGCAUGUCCCCCACAUUUUUUUUCAAAUCCCCCACAUUUUUCAGUUGAGUGGGUGACAAUCCCCCAUAAUUUUGAAAUUCUAGAUGCAACACUGAACAGUCAUAUUACAUAUGGUACAUAAUAAUCUUAUGAGGCCUGAUAUGGGGUACUAAAAAACCUAGAUAACUUUUUAUGAAGAAUCAUGAAUGGUAGUUCCCGUACA